CUCCAAGCAGCAGACAGGGGCAGAUCCCGAUUCCUCCUCCAGAGUAUAGACCAGUCGGAAGUACUGGUCAGGAUUAGUGCUGAAGAGGCUUCCCUCGCUGACAGAUAUUUCAGCUUCGUAGAUUUGCCCCUGGGCUGUUCCCACCAGGAUAGGCCCAGUGUUGGUCUCUGUACCAAGAAAUUUGUUCCAGCCCACGCUUUCAAUUAAGUGGCCUUUCCAGCGGGAGAGCGCUCGUACUUUCUGAACACUUCUGUUCAGGUAAAGGCAUUCACUGGUGUUCAGAGCGAUCAGGAGAUGAGAGCCUGUGUGGUCCAAAAACAUCUUGUAGACUUUGGCUUCAUCUUUGCGUCCCAAUUCUACUUGAUUAGGUUCAUCUGGCUUCCCAAGAUCAAUCCUGAGAAGGGUGUCUUUGCCAAGGCUCAUACAGAGCUGGUUAGAGGAGACCACCAAGCUGUUAAUUUUCUCUGGAGGAGUAAAAUCAAUCCUUUGCUUGUUAAAUAUUGGUGUUUCCUUCUCCAGUCGUGCAUUCACAUAUCCUGGAGAAAAAAAAAAACCAAACAUAUGAGUACCUAAGACCAAAAAAACAAAACCAAAAAAACCCCAUGACAGCUCACAUCAGACUCUAGCCUAGAAAGACAGCGUGACCACUGCCUGCUCUGGGUUUUACUGUAAAGGGAGUUUGCUCCAUAGAACAUCAACACUGAGAGCAGCUCUCACACAGAUAUGUAACUAGAAAGUAGUAAUACGCUCCACUGUCUUGUCACAGAACUGCAAGCUCAUCACAGAGAAUUCCAGCCCAGACAUAAACUGCUUGAUGAGUCAAAACAUAUUCAGACUGUUUACUUUUUCAAACCAAAUCCUACAAUACAGCCAG
rnacentral:lncRNA from 1 species